rnacentral:rRNA from 1 species
GGCGGGCGGGUGAGUAGCGCGUAAGAACCUGCCCUUGGGAGGGGAACAACAGCUGGAAACGGCUGCUAAUACCCCAUAGGCUGAGGAGCAAAAGGAGGAAUCCGCCCAAGGAGGGGCUCGCGUCUGAUUAGUUAGUUGGUGAGGCAAUGGCUUACCAAGGCGACGAUCAGUAGCUGGUCCGAGAGGAUGAUCAGCCACCCUGGGACUGAGACACGGCCCAGACUCCUACGGGAAGCAGCAGUGGGGAAUUUUCCGCAAUGGGCAAAAGCCUGGCCGAUCAAUGCCGCGUGAAUGCAGAAUGCCCACGGGUCAUGAACUUCUUUUCUCGGAAAUAAAAAAUGACGGUAUCUGAGGAAUAGCAUCGGCUUACUCUGUGCCAGCCCCACGGUAAGAGCGAGGAUGGAAGCGUUAUCCCGGAUGAUUGGGCGUUAAGCGACUGUUAGUGGCUUUACAAGUCCGCCGUCUAUCCCCGGGCUCACCCUGGACAAGCCGUGGAAACUCCAAGCUGGACUACAGUAGGGCACAGGGAUUUCCCGUUGAGCAUGAAUGCGCUGAUGCUCAAGAAGACUCCGGCCAAGUCCUCUGCUGGGGUGACUUAACACUGAUAGGAACAGCUACGGGAGUCAUGGGAUAAAUACUGCCUAGCCUAAACUAACGAAGCUACCCCUGCUUGGGGAACUCCCCCGUUGGCUUAGCUAUGGGUAUUAUCCCCCUGCGAGUAUUUUCCCUACGAAGUCAGUCAUUGCGGUGAAGGC